GUGCCAGCAGCCGCGCUAAUUCCAGCUCCAAUAGCGUAUAUUAAAGUUGUUGUGGUUAAAAAGCUCGUAGUUGAACCUUGGGCCUGGCUGGCCGGUCCGCCUCACCGCGUGCACUGGUCCGGCCGGGCCUUUCCCUCUGUGGAACCCCAUACCCUUCACUGGGCGUGGCGGGGAAACAGGACAUUUACUUUGAAAAAAUUAGAGUGCUCCAGGCAGGCCUAUGCUCGAAUACAUUAGCAUGGAAUAAUAAAAUAGGACGCGCGGUUCUAUUUUGUUGGUUUAUAGGACCGCCGUAAUGAUUAAUAGGGACAGUCGGGGGCAUCAGUAUUCAACUGUCAGAGGUGAAAUUCUUGGAUCAGUUGAAGACUAACUACUGCGAAAGCAUUUGCCAAGGAUGUUUUCAUUAAUCAGGAACGAAAGUUAGGGGAUCGAAGACGAUCAGAUACCGUCGUAGUCUUAACCAUAAACUAUGCCGACUAGGGAUCGGACGGUGUUAUUCAUGACCCGUUCGGCACCUUACGAGAAAUCAAAGUGCUUGGGCUCCAGGGGGAGUAUGGUCGCAAGGCUGAAACUUAAAGAAAUUGACGGAAGGGCACCACCAGGGGUGGAGCCUGCGGCUUUAAUUUGACUCAACACGGGGAAACUCACCAGGUCCAGACACAAUAAGGGAUUGACAGAUUGAGAGCUCUUUCUUGAUUUUUGUGGGUGGUGGUGCAUGGGCCGUUCUUAGUUGUUGGGGUGACUUGUCUGCUUAUUUGCGAUAACGAACGAGACCUUAACCUGCUAAAUAGCCCGCAUUGCUCCGGCAGUGCGCUGGCCUUUUAGGAGGGACUUUCGGCUCAAGCC
rnacentral:rRNA from 1 species